rnacentral:snRNA from 1 species
AUAGCUUCUCGGCCUUUUGGCUAAGAUCAAGUGUAAU